GGUUGAUAAUAAAAGAUCUGUAGCAGGUCCGGAGACGUAGGCAACAUUGGCCGAACUCCGUUAACAAUAUUGUGUGUUUUCCCGCUCCCAUAAAUUCGGGUUUCCGCAAAAUUUGACCGCGCAUUUCCUAACAACUGGUAUCAGAGCUUGAGUUACGGUGAUCGGUCAAAUUUUUUGCGGAGUUACUAUCACGUGAACAGUAAUUCGUGAAUAGUGAAUUUUGUCGGUAACAUUGGUUUGUCGACAAAGGUGUUCUAAUACACGGUGGUUCCAAAAACGAUGGGAGUAGAAGACGGUUCAGCGUACAGUAUCGGAAAAUUUUACGGUACCAAUUAUGCAUUUUGGAGAAUGCAAAUUGAAGAUUAUCUGUACGGAAAGAAGCUUCAUCAACCGCUGAACAAGAAGCCUGAGAAGAUGGAUCAGGAUGAGUGGGAGCUGCUUGACAGACAAGUUCUGGGUGUUAUAAGGUUAACAUUGUCGAAAAACGUUGCUCACAACGUUGCGAAGGAGAAGACCACAGAAGGACUCAUGAAAGUUCUCUCAGAUAUGUAUGAGAAACCUUCGACAAACAAUAAGGUGUUUCUCAUGAAGAAACUCUUUCAUUUAAAGAUGGAAGAAGGUGGCCUGGUCACCGCACAUGUGAACGAGUUCAACACAAUUGUCAACCAACUAUCAUCGGUUGAAAUCGAGUUUGAUGAUGAAGUACGAGCACUGAUUUUGUUGGCAUCUCUGCCAAAUAGUUGGGAGCCAAUGAGGGCAGCAGUUAGUAAUUCUGUGGGUACUCAGAAACUUAAAUUUAAUGAUGUUAGAGAUCAUAUCCUUGCUGAGGAAGUUCGAAGGAUAGACUCUGGGGAGGCAUCAACGAGUUAUGCUUUCAACGUGGAAAACAGAGGGAGAAACCCAGAUGGAAAUAACCGGAGUAAUGGCAGAUCGAAGUCAAGGAAUAGACGGGGUCAGUCCAAAUUCAGACAGCCUGCAGAGUGCUGGAAUUGUGGAAAGACAGGUCACAUUAAGAAGAAUUACCGAGCACCACCGAAGAAGGAAGACAACAAGAGAGCCGAAGCCAAUGCAGUGACACGUGAAAUCGCUGAUGCAUUGGUAGUGUCUGUUGAUUCUCCGAGAAAAAUUGAAGCUCAUGAUGGAACUGCAAAUACCACCAAAGCAUCAAUCUCCUAUGUCGAUAGCCCAGUCGAUUCAUGGGUGCUUGACUCAGGAGCGUCGUUCCACACCACACCGCACCAUAACAUCAUGGAAAAUUAAGUUGCGGGAAAUUACGGAAAGGUAUAUCUUGCUGAUGGAUUACCUUUGGACAUAGUUGGUAUUGGAGAUAUCAACUUGAAGAUGUCAGACGGACGUGUGUGGAAGAAUACGAAGGUCAGACAUGUGCCAAAGUUGAUGUGAAAUCUGAUCUUUGUAGGUCAACUUGAUGAUACGGGGCACGAUGUUAAUUUUGGUGGUGGAGCCUGGAGAGUCAAGAAAGGUUCCAUGGUGGUGGCUAGAGGUCAUAAAAGAGGCACUCUUUAUAUGACGACGAGUUAUCAAAACAUUGUUGUUGUUGUCGAGAAUGCCAAACAUACCAAGUUGUGGCAUUGUAGGUUGGGGCACAUGAGUGAGAAAGGGAUGAAACUCAUGGUGGAAAAUGGCGCUAUUCCGGAUCUGAAGACGGUGGAUCAUCAGAUGUGUGAAAGUUGCAUCCUUGGAAAACAGAAACGGGUUAGUUUCUCUAAAGGAGGAAGAGAGCCAAAAUCUGAGAAGUUAAAGCUGAUGCACAUUAACGUGUGGGGACCCGCUCUGUUGCAUCUCUGGGAGGUUCAUACUACUAUGUGACCAUUAUUGAUGACUUCACAAGAAAGGUGUGGGUUUACUUCAUGAAGAACGAGCAUGAAGUAUUUUCGGUUUUCAAAAGAUGGAAAGCCAUGGUUGAGACUGAGACGAAUCUCAAGUUGAAGUGUUUAAGGUCUGAUAAUGGUGAAGAGUACAUCAGCGACGAGUUCAAGAGAUAUUGUGCUGAUAAUGGGAUCAAGAUGGAGAAGACUAUUCCUGGAACGCCUCAACAUAAUGGAAUAGCGGAAAGGCUGAACCGAACCUUGAAUGAGUGUGCAAGGAGCAUGAUAUUGCACUGUGGAUUGCCAAAGACGUUUUGGGCAGAUGCAAUCAAUACCGCAGUCUUUUUAAUAAACAGAGGACCGUCUGUACCGUUGGGAUUUAAAAUCCCUGAAGAAGUUUGGAGCGGAAAGAAAGUAAAUCUUUCUUAUCUAAAGGUGUUCGGAUGCUUAGCUUAUGUUCAUAUUGAUGAUGCUGCAAGAAGUAAACUUGACUCGAAGUCUAAGAAGUGUUACUUCAUCGGCUAUGGUAACGUGGAGUUUGGUUACCGGUUUUGGGAUGAUGAAAAUCGGAAGAUCAUCCGCAGCAAGAAUGUUGUGUUCAACGAAGAAGCGUUGUACAAGGAUAAGCUAAGAGAAGGCUCGGAGAGAAAAAAGCUUGGAGCUGUUGACUUAGAAGAUAUCCUGACACCGGAGUUUGCCACAGGAUACCACAACAGCAGAAGAAGAAAUUUCUCAAGACGAGAGUGGUGAGGCUGAAGAAAGUGAUGAUUCUGAAGUGGUCCCACAUAUACCAGUGACGGAGUUACGACGGUCAAGCAGAAUCAUCAGAAAGCCUGUAAGAUUUUCUCCAUCGCUCAACUACAUUCUGCUCACACACAGAGGCGAGCCUGAAUGUUAUGAGGAAGCUAUGCAAGUUGAUGAGUCGAUCAAGUGGGAGCUUGCAAUGAACGACGAGAUGGACUCGUUGUUAUCCAAUCACACGUUGGAGUUAUCAGAUUUGCCUAAGGAGAAAAAGGCAUUGCAUAACAAGUGGGUCUACCGAAUAAAAGAAGAACCUGAUGGGAGUAAGCGCUAUAAAACGAGGCUUGUUGUGAAGGGAUUCCAACAAAAAGAAGGCGUUAACUACACUGAAAUCUUCUCUCAUGUAGUCAAGAUGGUGACCAUCAGAACGGUUCUUGGGCUGGUAGCACAAGAAGAUCUGCAUCUUCAACAAAUGGAUGUGAAGACGGCAUUUCUUCACGGUGAUUUGGAUGAAGAAAUUUAUAUGAAGCAACCCGAAGGCUUUGAGAUCAAAGGGAAGGAAAGCCUUGUUUGCAAACUGAAAAAGAGUUUGUACGGCUUAAAACAAGCUCCAAGACAGUGGUAUAAACGGUUCGACAGCUUUUUUAAAGGCGUUGGUUUCUUGAGGUGUGAAGCUGAUCACUGUUGUUACUUCAAGACACUUGAAGAGUCCUACUUGAUAUUGCUUCUAUAUAUCGAUGACAUGCUGAUAGUAGGAGCAGACUUGCACGAGAUCAAUAGCUUGAAGACGAAACUCUCAGAAGAGUUUGCGAUGAAAGACCUUGGAGAAGCAAGACAGAUUCUAGGGAUGAGAAUCAGUAGAAGCAAAGAAGGUCUUAAGCUAUCACAAGAGGAGUAUGUGAAGAAAGUCCUUAAGAGGUUUAACAUGGAUGACGCGAAGCAAGUUACUACUCCGCUGGCAAGUCACUUUCGGUUAUCCAGAGAACAGUCUCCAAAGACGGAAGAAGAGAUGGGAUAUAUGGAUAAAGUUCCAUAUGCUUCUACUAUAGGUAGCCUAAUGUACGCGAUGAUAUGUACAAGGCUAGACAUUGCACAUGCAGUGGGAGUCGUCAGCAGAUUUAUGAGCAAUCCAGGAAAGGAACAUUGGGAAGCCGUUAAGUGGAUUUGCAGAUAUCUAAAAGGAAAUCCAAGUUUAUCGCUAUGUUUCACAAAGUCUAAGACGGGAUUGCAGGGAUAUGCUGAUGCUGACAAUGGAGGUGACGGUGACAGCACGAAGAGCACAACCGGGUAUGUCUACACUUUUGGUGGUACUGCAAUUUGUUGGGUUUCAAAGUUGCAGAAAAUUGUAUCUCUAUCAAGCUGUGAAGCUGAGUAUGUUGCGGUAACGGAGGCAACAAAAGAGAUGAUGUGGCUACAGUCUUUUCUAGAAGAGCUAGGCCAUGACCAAGGGAAAAGUGUGUUGUAUUGUGAUAGUAAAAUUGCCAUCGAUUUGGCAAAGAAUCCGGGUUACCAUGCUCGGACGAAGCACAUACAUCGCCGGUAUCAUUUCAUCAGAUCAGCGUUCGAAGAUGAAAUGUUGGUGCUUGAGAAGAUCCCAGGAAGCAAGAAUCCGGCAGACAUGUUGACGAAGGUCGUGCCGUAUGAUAAGCUGAGGUUGUGUGCAACCUCAGUUGGCUUGUUGGAGUAACAAGCUGGGGAGACCUGCUACAUUGAUCAAGAUGUGAAGACAGAUUGAAAUCAGUCUUCAAGUGGGAGAUUGUAAGUCAAAGAACACGGCCGGUGAUGACGACAAUGACGGUGAGGGAUGGCAAAGAAGUCAACAAAAGAGGAACUUCAUUUUGUCAAUAAUUGUGACUUUGUGGCUUUCACAUAUCCAAGUUUCUCCUACAAAUACUCAACGUAAGUAGAAGAGAAGAAGCAUCCCAAAACAAGAAAACAAAGUGAGAGAGAACAAGAGAUCGAAGAAGAAGAGAGAGUGCAAGAAAAUUUUUUUUUUUUUUUUUCUCACAAAAAAUUCUUCUUUAAGAAAUUACGAGUAAUUUCUUGAGUGUAUUUGGGAUCGGGUGUGAGUUGAGAGCUUGUAAAAAUUUCCCGGGUUGAUAAUAAAAGAUCUGUAGCAGGUCCAGAGACGUAGGCAACAUUGGCCGAACUCCGUUAACAAUUUUGUGUGUUUUUCGCUCCCAUAAAUUCGGUUUUCGGCAAAAUUUGACCGCGCAUUUCCUAACAAUCACCGCCUCUGCCUGACGGCCGGCCUGAGUAAUCACCUCCACCAUUGUAUUCACCUCUGUAUCCAUAACCACUGCAACCUCUAUUCCGGUAUCCACCCUCACCUUUACCAAAACCUUUACCUCCAUUGUAUCCAGGGGGAGCUACAUCGCGUAAGUAGAGGGCAGUUG
rnacentral:lncRNA from 1 species